rnacentral:misc_RNA from 1 species
UACUUUGUUGGAUGAGGAUCCAGCUAUAAUGCAGCGUCGUCUUUCUCUUGCAAAGAGACUUGAGUUGUACAGAGCUGCUCAAUCUGAGAUUGAUUCAGUCGCAUGGGCUAAGUAGACACAAACCUUUGUUUUUCUUCAGUUUUUGUUCAUCACCAUUGAAAUGUAGGGAUAGGUGUCAUUCUUUACUUCGACAUAUUAUUCUUUUCCAUAAAAAGUAGAUAUAUAUAGUUAUAGGAACGCUAGCAGUUUCUGUGCCUCGUCUUAUUUUUCCCUACUUAUUAAGUCCAAAUGUACACUCGAAUUUUGACAUUUGAUAUCUCUUUGCUAG